GCCAAGCACGGUGGCUCACGCCUAUAAUCCCAGCACUUUGGGAGGCUGAGGCAUGAGAAUCGUUUGAACCUGGGAGGCAGAGGUUGCAGUGAGCCAAGAUUAUGCCACUGCACUAUAACCUGGGAGAUAGAGUGAGACUCUGUCUCAAAAAUAAAUAAAUAAAUAAAUAAANNNNNNNNNNUCUUAUUUAUUUAUUUAUUUAUUUUUGAGACAGAGUCUCACUCUAUCUCCCAGGUUAUAGUGCAGUGGCGUAAUCUUGGCUCACUGCAACCUCUGCCUCCCAGGUUCAAACGAUUCUCAUGCCUCAG
rnacentral:SRP_RNA from 1 species